UACGUAGGUGGCGAGCGUUAAUCGGAAUUACUGGGCGUAAAGCGUGCGCAGGCGGUUUUGUAAGCCAGAUGUGAAAUCCCCGGGCUCAACCUGGGAAUGGCAUUUGGGACUGCAAGGCUGGAGUGCGGCAGAGGAGACUGGAAUUCCUGGUGUAGCAGUGAAAUGCGUAGAUAUCAGGAGGAAUACCGAUGGCGAAGGCAGGUCUCUGGGCUGACACUGACGCUCAUGCACGAAAGCGUGGGGAGCAAACAGG
rnacentral:rRNA from 1 species